UUUCUCCUCAUUCUAUUACUAGUAUCUAUCUCAUUCUCUCAUUCAUCUUCACCCACCACCAUCACCAAACUUGAAGAUUAUGGGAUUCAGAAAGUGAGAAAAUAUUCAUCAAUACAAGAAAACCCGUCAGUUGUUGAAGGUGACGACGAUCAAGUCAAGAGGAAAUACUUGCAUGAAGUACAUUCAGGACCCAAUCCCAUCAGCAAUUCUCUUCCU